AGAGUUUGAUCCUGGCUCAGAUUGAACGCUGGCGGCAUGCUUUACACAUGCAAGUCGGACGGCAGCACAGAGAAGCUUGCUUCUUGGGUGGCGAGUGGCGAACGGGUGAGUAACAUAUCGGAACGUACCGAGCAGUGGGGGAUAACUAAUCGAAAGAUUAGCUAAUACCGCAUAUCUUCUGAGGAAGAAAGCAGGGGACCAUUUGGCCUUGCGCUGUUUGAGCGGCCGAUAUCUGAUUAGCUAGUUGGUGGGGUAAAGGCCUACCAAGGCGACGAUCAGUAGCGGGUCUGAGAGGAUGAUCCGCCACACUGGGACUGAGACACGGCCCAGACUCCUACGGGAGGCAGCAGUGGGGAAUUUUGGACAAUGGGCGAAAGCCUGAUCCAGCCAUGCCGCGUGUCUGAAGAAGGCCUUCGGGUUGUAAAGGACUUUUGUCAGGGAAGAAAAGGGCGGGGUUAAUACCCCUGUCUGAUGACGGUACCUGAAGAAUAAGCACCGGCUAACUACGUGCCAGCAGCCGCGGUAAUACGUAGGGUGCGAGCGUUAAUCGGAAUUACUGGGCGUAAAGCGGGCGCAGACGGUUACUUAAGCAGGAUGUGAAAUCCCCGGGCUCAACCUGGGAACUGCGUUCUGAACUGGGUGACUAGAGUGUGUCAGAGGGAGGUAGAAUUCCACGUGUAGCAGUGAAAUGCGUAGAGAUGUGGAGGAAUACCGAUGGCGAAGGCAGCCUCCUGGGAUAACACUGACGUUCAUGCCCGAAAGCGUGGGUAGCAAACAGGAUUAGAUACCCUGGUAGUCCACGCCCUAAACGAUGUCGAUUAGCUGUUGGGCAGCAUGACUGCUUAGUAGCGAAGCUAACGCGUGAAAUCGACCGCCUGGGGAGUACGGUCGCAAGAUUAAAACUCAAAGGAAUUGACGGGGACCCGCACAAGCGGUGGAUGAUGUGGAUUAAUUCGAUGCAACGCGAAGAACCUUACCUGGUCUUGACAUGUACGGAAUCCUCCAGAGACGGAGGAGUGCCUUCGGGAGCCGUAACACAGGUGCUGCAUGGCUGUCGUCAGCUCGUGUCGUGAGAUGUUGGGUUAAGUCCCGCAA
rnacentral:rRNA from 1 species